UACAGGAGGGGGCAAGCGUUGUUCGGAAUUACUGGGCGUAAAGGGCGCGUAGGCGGCCCGCUAAGUCGAACGUGAAAUCCCCGAGCUCAACUCGGGAACUGCGUCCGAUACGGGCAGACUAGAGUUCGGCAGGGGAGACUGGAAUUCCUGGUGUAGCGGUGAAAUGCGCAGAUAUUAGGAAGAACACCGGUGGCGAAGGCGGGUCUCUGGGCCGAUACUGACGCUGAGGAGCGAAAGCGUGGGGAGCGAACAGG
rnacentral:rRNA from 1 species